AUUGAACGCUGGCGGCAUGCCUUACACAUGCAAGUCGAACGGCAGCACGGGAGCAAUCCUGGUGGCGAGUGGCGAACGGGUGAGUAAUAUAUCGGAACGUGCCCAGUCGUGGGGGAUAACGUAGCGAAAGCUACGCUAAUACCGCAUACGAUCUAUGGAUGAAAGCGGGGGAGUCGCAAGACCUCGCGCGAUUGGAGCGGCCGAUAUCAGAUUAGGUAGUUGGUGAGGUAAAGGCUCACCAAGCCGACGAUCUGUAGCUGGUCUGAGAGGACGACCAGCCACACUGGGACUGAGACACGGCCCAGACUCCUACGGGAGGCAGCAGU
rnacentral:rRNA from 1 species